GACGAACGCUGGCGGCGUGCCUAAUACAUGCAAGUCGAACGCAGUGGGGACGGGUGAGUAACACGUGGGUAACCUCCCAUCAGAGGGGAUAACACUUGGAAACAGGUGCUAAACCGAUACUGAUGGAUGGACCCGCGGUGCAUUAGCUAGUUGGUGAGGUAACGGCUCACCAAGGCCACGAUGCAUAGCCACGCUGCUGGGGUGAGUGGCCAAAAUGUGACUUAACCACGGCCCAGACUCCUCAGGGAGGCAGAAGUAGGUAUUCUUCGGCAAUGGUCGACAGUCUGACCGAGCAACGCUGCGUGAGGUAAGAGUGUUUUCGGAGCGUAAACCUCUGUGGUUAGAGAAGCGGUAUCUAACCAUAAAGCCACGGCUAAAUACGUGCCAGCAGCCGUGAUAAGAC
rnacentral:rRNA from 1 species